CUGCGUCAGCCUCCCGAGUAGCUGGGACUGCAGGCGCCCGCCACCAUGCCUGGCUAAUUUUUUGUAUGUUUAGUAGAGACGGGGUUUCACCGUGUUAGCCAGGAUGGUCUCUAUCUCCUGACCUUGUGAUCUGCCUGCCUCGGCCUCCCGAAGUGCCGGGAUUACAAGCGUGAGCCACCAUUCCCGGCCCAAAGAGGAGAAGAAGUAUGAAGUGCUUGCUUGGACCUUUCUACUGUGCUUAUUAUUCUGUCUUCUCCUCAUGGCAAAUGCUUCCUGUCCUUGAACAUCAGACUUCAAGUUCUUCAGUUUUGGGACUUGGACUGGCCCCUUGCUCCUCAGCUUCCCAAUGGCCUACUGUGGGACCUUGUGAUCAUAUUUCUUUUUUAUUUUCAUUUAUUAAAUACAGAAGAAAUAUUUCGCUGAAGACACAGGAAACCCUAUUUUGUAUAAACGAGGGAUUGCAAGAGAUUGUUGGAAGAUCAAAGAUGGGUGAAUUGGAGCUCUUCCUGAGAACAAAAAGGAUUUAUGAAGGAAAAAGCAGCUAAUCAAAGAAGUUCUGAGUUUAAAUUCUGUUUUGUCCACUUACUAGCCAUUUGGCCUUGGGCAAGUCACUUUACUGGACCUCAGUUUCCUUGUAUGUGAAAGGUUUUGGUAAAAAUCAUAUUAGUUAAAGAAUGUAAAGAGUUUUAUAAAUUACAAAGUGAUUAAAAAAAGUAAAAUGUAUUGUUGUUUAGGAACAAUGAAAAAAAAAGAAACCUUGACAUUUUUUCUUCAAGUUCUUGCCUAAAAUGUUUAUUUGUUUGGCCCUUUUUAGAUUUAACAAAUUCUAUGUGUCUAAAUAUCAGUGUAGACCCCUUCUUACCCUACUGGAUUUAUAAGGUACUAAAAGUAGAUAUGCAUCUCUUCUGUCUUGGUUCGCUCUAAAAUGGGAUGUUUGCAAACCUCUUGGUUUUUCUUUUUUAAUAUGGAUGAAGCUUAUAUUAAUUUUUGGCUUGGUAUUAAAUUUUGUUUGGAAUAUUAUUAA
rnacentral:lncRNA from 1 species